GGGGAAUAUUGGACAAUGGGCGAAAGCCUGAUCCAGCCAUGCCGCGUGUGUGAAGAAGGUCUUCGGAUUGUAAAGCACUUUAAGUUGGGAGGAAGGGCAGUUACCUAAUACGUAAUUGUUUUGACGUUACCGACAGAAUAAGCACAGGCUAACUCUGUGCCAGCAGCCGCGGUAAUACAGAGGGUGCAAGCGUUAAUCGGAAUUACUGGGCGUAAAGCGCGCGUAGGUGGUUCGUUAAGUUGGAUGUGAAAGCCCCGGGCUCAACCUGGGAACUGCAUUCAAAACUGUCGAGCUAGAGUAUGGUAGAGGGUGGUGGAAUUUCCUGUGUAGCGGUGAAAUGCGUAGAUAUAGGAAGGAACACCAGCGGCGAAGGCGACCACCUGGACUGAUACUGACACUGAGGUGCGAAAGCGUGGGGAGCAAA
rnacentral:rRNA from 1 species